CUCCUCUCAGGUUCACAUGUGGAGCGUUUCCAGUAUUCUACCAGUCUCGACUAUGGGAGGGAGAGUCAAGCAGAGGCUUACCCAUUCCAUUCCUAGAUUGGCCAGUGGCUAGUGAACGGAAGACAAUCUGCUACAAGU